CCUACGGGAGGCAGCAGUGGGGAAUAUUGGGCAAUGGGCGCAAGCCUGACGCAGCAACGCCGCGUGAAGGAAGAAGGCUUUCGGGUUGUAAACUUCUUUUCUCAGGGACGAAGCAAGUGACGGUACCUGAGGAAUCAGCCACGGCUAACUACGUGCCAGCAGCCGCGGUAAUACGUAGGUGGCAAGCGUUAUCCGGAUUUACGGGGUGUAAAGGGCGAGUAGGCGGGAAAGCAAGUCAGAUGUGAAAACCAUGGGCUCAACCUGUGGCCUGCAUUUGAAACUGUUUUUCUUGAGUACUGGAGAGGCAGACGGAAUUCCUAGUGUAGCGGUGAAAUGCGUAGAUAUUAGGAGGAACACCAGUGGCGAAGGCGGUCUGCUGGACAGCAACUGACGCUGAGGCGCGAAAGCGUGGGGAGCAAACAGGAUUAGAUACCCCAGUAGUC
rnacentral:rRNA from 1 species